rnacentral:rRNA from 1 species
UACGGGGGGGGCAAGCGUUGUUCGGAAUUACUGGGCGUAAAGGGCUCAUAGGCGGCCAACUAAGUCGGACGUGAAAUCCCUCAGCUUAACUGGGGAACUGCGUCCGAUACUGGAUGGCUUGGAUUUGGGAGAGGGAUGCGGAAUUCCAGGUGUAGCGGUGAAAUGCGUAGAUAUCUGGAGGAACACCGGUGGCGAAGGCGGCAUCCUGGACCAAUAUUGACGCUGAGGAGCGAAAGCCAGGGGAGCAAACGGG